rnacentral:rRNA from 1 species
GAUGAACGCUGGCGGCGUGCCUAAUACAUGCAAGUCGAGCGAACGGACGAGAAGCUUGCUCCUCUGAUGUUAGCGGCGGACGGGUGAGUAACACGUGGAUAACCUACCUAUAAGACUGGGAUAACUUCGGGAAACCGUAGCUAAUACCGGAUAAUAUUUUGAACCGCAUGGUUCAAAAGUGAAAGACGGUCUUGCUGUCACUUAUAGAUGGAUCCGCGCUGCAUUAGCUAGUUGGUAAGGUAACGGCUUACCAAGGCAACGAUGCAUAGCCGACCUGAGAGGGUGAUCGGCCACACUGGAACUGAGACACGGUCCAGACUCCUACGGGAGGCAGCAGUAGGGAAUCUUCCGCAAUGGGCGAAAGCCUGACGGAGCAACGCCGCGUGAGUGAUGAGGGUCUUCGGAUCGUAAAACUCUGUUAUUAGGGAAGAACAUAUGUGUAAGUAACUGUGCACAUCUUGACGGUACCUAAUCAGAAAGCCACGGCUAACUACGUG